rnacentral:rRNA from 1 species
GAUGAACGCUAGCGGCAGGCUUAACACAUGCAAGUCGAGGGGUAUAGUUCUUCGGAGCUAGAGACCGGCGCACGGGUGCGUAACGCGUAUGCAAUCUACCUUUUGCAGAGGGAUAGCCCAGAGAAAUUUGGAUUAAUACCUCAUAGUAUGUGAGAAUGGUAUCAUUUUCACAUUAAAGUCACAACGGCAAAAGAUGAGCAUGCGUCCCAUUAGCUUGUUGGUAAGGUAACGGCUUACCAAGGCAACGAUGGGUAGGGGCCCUGAGAGGGAGAUCCCCCACACUGGUACUGGGACACGGACCAGACUCCUACGGGAGGCAGCAGUGAGGAAUAUUGGACAAUGGGCGCAAGCCUGAUCCAGCCAUGCCGCGUGCAGGAUGACGGUCCUAUGGAUUGUAAACUGCUUUUGUACAGGAAGAAACACUGGUUCGUGAACCAGCUUGACGGUACUGUAAGAAUAAGGAUCGGCUAACUCCGUGCCAGCAGCCGCGGUAACAC